rnacentral:rRNA from 1 species
UCGAAGGGGGAGAUUCAUUCGCGUCUCGAUCGUCGGAGGCGGGCGGUCGCGCGACGAACGGCGUUCGCGUCGUUCGCGCCCUCCGUCCGUCCGAACCGGCGUCGAACGCGUGCACUUCUCCCCUUGUAGGACGUCGCGAUCCGUUGGGUGUCGGUCUAAGGCCCGCGGUGGAGCCCGCAAGUUUCGGCUUGCGGACCCGCGGUCGCCCGACCGACUCGCCCGACGGUGUACAGAUGGCGCGAGGCCGCGACCCAGUUCGCGUCCGACCCGCGGCAAGCGCGCUCGUUCGCGUCGGAGAUCGGACCUGGUGCCGGUCCCGACCGCGAGUGGCUGUUGGCCGCGGCGUUCUCGGACAGACCUCGUUCGAACGCCGAUCUGCGACGCUAUAGCUUUGGGUACUUUCAGGACCCGUCUUGAAACACGGACCAAGGAGUCUAGCAUGUGCGCGAGUCAUUGGGACCACACUAAACCUAAAGGCGCAAUGAAAGUGAAGGUCCGCCUAGCGCGGACCGAGGGAAGAUGGGCGGUCGUCGAGAGAGGCCGCCCCGCACUCCCGGGGCGUCUCGUUCUCAUCGCGAGAAGAGGCGCACCAUAAGCGUACACGCUGGGACCCGAAAGAUGGUGAACUAUGCCUGGUCAGGACGAAGUCAGGGGAAACCCUGAUGGAGGUCCGUAGCGAUUCUGACGUGCAAAUCGAUCGUCGGAACUGGGUAUAGGGGCGAAAGACUAAUCGAACCAUCUAGUAGCUGGUUCCCUCCGAAGUUUCCCUCAGGAUAGCUGGCGCUCGUCGCUCACGAGUCUCAUCCGGUAAAGCGAAUGAUUAGAGGCAUUGGGGUCGAAACGACCUCAACCUAUUCUCAAACUUUAAAUGGGUGAGAUCUCCGGCUUGCUCGAACGCAUGAAGCCGCGAGAAUUAAUAUCGGAUCAGAGUGCCAAGUGGGCCAUUUUU